rnacentral:rRNA from 1 species
AUCUGUGGCCAUGCCACCCUGAACGUGCCCGAUCUCGUUUGAUCUUGGAAGCUAAGCAGGGUCGGGCCUGGUUAGUACUUGGAUGGGAGACCUAGGAAUACCAGUUACUGUAGGCG